UCCUUCACCAGGGGGUCUUCCUAACCCAAGGAUCAAACCCCAGUCUCCUAUUUUGCAGAUGGAUUCUUUACCAUCUGAGCCACCAGGGAAGCUGUGCAUGACAGUAAAACACACUAAUCUCAGGCGUGCAAUCUGAUGAAAUUUUACAUGUUUGCACACCUGGUGAGCACUGUGCACAUCACAGUAAGUGUGCAACAUUCCAGCGUUUGAGAAGGUCCCUCCAUGUCAGCACCCACCCCCAGCGUAACCACUGUCAGGGUUCUGUCACCAGGGUGAGCAUGCUGGUGCUCAGAUUCAAUGUCACAGUGCACUCUGCGUCCAGAGGGUCCAUCCAUGUUGUGUGCGUCCGGAGAUCGGUUUUUUUUAAUGGAUUCAGAGUAUUCCUUAUGCAUCUGUCUGUAUGGAUGGAGAUUCAGGGACCCAAAGCCUCCUUUUGGGCUCCUCUUCAACACACUCUUGGAUUCCACUAGCGGUUCUCGAUGCUGCUGUGAGCUGGCUGGGCGUAGCCCUGGUCAGCCUCCUCCCAGCCCAGUGUGCUGCCCCGGAGCCCUGUACAGACCCCAGCCCUGGCCUUGAGUGGACCGGGGUGGAGCAGCUGCUGCCAGAGGUCUGAGGGUUCAGGAGUUCCUGAAGGCCUUGAACCAUGGCUUAUUAAUUACUUGUCGAUUACUAAAUCAAAAUAAAUCAGGGAUUUGUUUACCGAGUUGAAAUGCUUUCCUAGCCCUUCCUCUAAUUCUGCACUUUGACUCACAGCUUUCAUGCCGUCCUGUGCGUUCCGUUACCCGCUGCAGCCCUCCUGGGGGGCUGAGACACCAGGUGAACAGGGUCGGGCCUGAUGGUGCUCAGUGGGUCCAGGACAGCACGUGCCACAGUGUCUUCGAUGGAGGUGAACAGCUGUCCUUUUGAAAGUUGUCUUUCACGUGUGGAAUGAAGACCCCACAGCAGCCUUGACGGUGGUGGGCUGUGGGGCCACGCGCUUCAGGUGGCCUUCACCUGGGGUUUGCCUGUGUCUUCCUGCAGCUUCCCACUCGCACACCUGAGGGUGUUGGUGAGUCACAUCCUUUGCCUUUGGGAAUUUCUGUGUUCCUCCUAAAAGUCCUGCCUAGUGAUUGGGUAUGUUUAUUUUCCACUUCAUCACGUCAGUUUGUCUGUCGAAAGCUGGACUGUGUGUCCAUCAGUAUGCAGAGCUUAUCUCUCUGCACCUUUGCUUCCGAGACAGGACGCGGGGGACUGAUGCACAGGCCCAGAAAGCCCCCUCAGAUGGCCUCUCCUGGGAGGUGUGCUGUUGUGCUUGGGCCCUGGGUAAGGGCCAUGGAAGAAAACCACGCGGGCCACUAAAGCUGUCGUCUUUACAUGCUGAGCUAGAGAAACUGGGAGACUAAAGUACUGUUCGCAUCCUGUUUUCUGUGGCUCGGGGGCCUGAGCCACUGGCUCCCCGCCCACACGUCAUGACCUUGCUUCCCUCGCUGGUCUGGAAUAAUAACGGGGUGUUGCUAUGGGACAAAACAAAUACUCUGCCUGUAGUGUGGCCCCUCUCGUGGAGGAGGAGCCCCUGGCUCCAGCAGCAGCUGCAGGGAUGAGCAGGGCCCCCAGCCUUCACAGGAACGCGCUCCUUUUGCCAGAAGGUGAUGCCGAGGCUCCACAGGUCAGAAUGCUUUUGUGAGAAAUGAUGUGUUGGGGCAGCUGUGCUCCACCCUCAGGAGAGGAGCUGCCCUGGAGCAGCUUUGUCCCUGUUCACCUGGAGCUGGAGUCACUGCGCUCCCCCACCCCAAACUGGGAACAGUUUUCCAGGAAUGUGACCCACUGCUUGUCAGUGGUGAGCUGAGGGUCCAGGAGGGGCUGGGGAGGGAGGAAGAGCACCACACGCAAGCUUCCGCACCAGGUAGGUGUUGUCUGUCUCCUCACAAUGCCUCUUCUCCACCACCCAGUCACAGCCAUUCAUCGGAGGAGGGUCAGCACCUGGCCCUGGAGAGUAAGCCAACGUGCACUGUUGAGGUUGCCCUGUGGUUCUUCCUGGAAAGAAUUCUGGGGGGCCACAGUCUCUGGGCUCCCUCCCUGCCCUAAGAGCUUGGUCCAGCCUGGUAGGAGCAGUUGCCACCUGGUCACAUCACCUGAGUCCUUCUCUCAGCUUGGGGUUACAAUGUCCUUUCUUAGAGCAUCGGCUCUGUGCCAGCCCUUCUACUGGGCACUCAGCUCAGGUGCUUCCAUGAUGCUCAUGACACCAUAACUGUGGGCUGCAGAGAGGAAGAUCUGGGGUCUGGACCAGGCUGCUAACUCGCCCCAAACAAGGCCCCAGCAACCUUCCAUUGCUCUGCCAUCCUGCUUCUCACCUAGUUCUUGUUAUCCCCUGAUUCCAUCUCGUGGAAAACGGACAACACCUACCUGGUCUGGACUGCUCUGCAGCCACAGCGUGUAUCGCUCACUCUCCCUCCCCAGCCCCUCCAGGACAUGGCUCAGGGCUGCACUGCCUCUUCAGUAUCCCUCCCAUGUCCUGAGAAUCCCCCUCUCUGAGGCCGCCCCAUGCACUUUGGCCUGUGUGCAAUCUGCUGGGGGCGGAAGGGGUGCUGCAGGCAGAGCCCCCCUCUGCAGCUGUGCUCAGAGUGUCAGCAGUGACCGAGCAGAGGCCCCUUGGGCUGCAAGGCUGGGAUGGGCAGCUUCUGCUCAGCUCAGCUCUGAGUCCCCGUCUAGAGAUCGGGGUUAAGGUCAUGCUCCUGAGCACCACUUUUCUCUCACAGAGUAAUAAAAAAGUGGUUUCCUUGUGGAAAAAAAAAAAAAAACCCUGAAAAAUAACUGCCAGUGAUGGAAGGGACAGGGCCUAAAAAAGUCAUGACUCGUAUUCAGAAAUUAGGAAGGUGGCUUAACUGAAGAGGGGUGUGCUCCUGUAGGGACAUGCUUCCUGCUCUGUCUUUUAUAAACCACACGGGCGGAGGUCUCACUGUGUGGUGCUUGCAAGUCUGGGUGUUUGAGAAGGGCUCUGGCAGCCCUGGGGUGCGUGUGGAAGCCUGGUGUGCCCUGUACACCUUCUCCACGUGCACUUGGCCAAGAAGAGCACAAGCUCUGGAACAAAGUGAUCAAGUGCAAGCUGCUGUUCGAUGGACUCUCACUCAGGACACGGAUUUGAUUCAGGACUCACACCAGCCCUCUGGGGAAUAUAUUGUGUCCUUCUUUUACAAAGGAGGAACUAUGCUUGGAGAAGUUUAAAUGAUCCAGAGUCACCCGCCAGUUCAAGGGAAGUGCUAUGAAGGAGAGACAGAUGAGCAGCCUGGCACUGACCUCCACACUCUGGCCCAGGUGGACCCUCCAGCCCGCCAGCUCCACCUCAACAGCAGGGCUCCCUGCACCUUUACCUCAGCUUCUAGAGCAGCUGGUUCUGGUCUAUGGUAUUCCGCCCACCAUGUGUGCUAAGUUACUUCAGCUGUAUCCAAUUCUUUGCAACUCUGUAGACUGUAACCCACCAGGCUCCUCUGUCCAUGGAAUUCUCCAGGCAAGAAUACUGAGGGCUGCCAUGCCCUCCUCAAGGGGAUCUUGAGUAACAUUGAGUUAUUUUCUUGUUGAUAAGUUUGUAAGAGAAUACCAGGUAUUAAUUUAAUACUGAAUAUUUCCCAGUUCAAGUGAACCUGAAAUUCACUUAACUUCUCUUAUAUUUAGAAUUGUUUGAUUUGUAAGCACUUACUUUUCUUCAAGCCAAUUAAAUAGAGCUCAUUUACAAAUUAACCAUAGCAAUAUUAUCCAAAGACACAUACUGACACAUACAUAUACCCAGACAGACAUGAGAGAUUUAGCUUCAUUUUCUAAACUUAGUCAUGAAUCAGCUAUCACAAUGUAAAAUUCACUAAUUUAUAGUGAAUAAAUAAAAAUUGGAAUAAAUAAAAAUUAUUGGAAUAAAUUUGGAAUAAAUAAAAAUUCUGAAGGCUUCUCCUGCCCACCAUGGCCCCCUUUGUCCACGUUGCCAGCUGGCCUGGGUGUCGGCCCUCCCACAUGGGGCGUCCCCUUCUCGUGGAAUUCUCACGCCCCCACUGGCGCUCCUUGGACCUCGUCUAGACACUCUCCUGUGUCAGCCUCAGGUCCUUUCUUUGCUAGUAGCCUUGUGCCUGUGCACAGUUGUUGAACCUUCUGGGUCUCAGCUUCCUGGUCUGUAAAAUGGGAACAGCGACACCUCUGGGGUGCUGUGAGGAGAGCUUGGCCCGGACCACACCUUCUCUCCCACCGUCGGGACCACAGCCGUGUCCCGAGAUCUCUCUGCUCCCUUCUCGGCCCUGCCCCACUCCUACAUUCAGCAGUCCUGGGUCCAUAGGUGCAGAUCACGCUUGUCACCUGGACAGCACACCGUGUGGAGCACACGCAGGGCUCACACAGCCCCCGGCAGCUGCUUGGCAGUCUCACGAAGGAGCCGCUGCUUGUCUGAGCAGUUCUGCAGGCGCUGACAGCCACGCCAUCACUGCUCCGGAUUGAGGUGGGUGGACGCGGCACAGCAAGGGGCCAGGCUCGGCUGUCCGCUCCACCCCAUCUGACUCACAGGUCUGUGGCCUGAUUUUAAACUGUCCCGACGUGUCCGCCCCGGAGGUCACCCCCUGGCAGGUCCCACGCUCUGGCAGAUGCCUCGUGAGGUUGGCAGCCUGUGCUGCCUGAUCGUCCCACAAAUGGACGUCUCUGCAUGGUUUUCUUACACAGCAUGCGUGUGUGCGCAUGCUCCUUGGCCCUGUCCUGAAGUGGCCCUGACGUGUUCGUUCUCCUUCACGGUUGGAUGUUGUGUUGAUUGUGACUCCAGGACCCACCUUAAUGAAAAGCAAGCAGGACGUGAGGCAUCACAGCCCAUGGGGCUGCCCUGUGGCCUCUGGCGCGCAGUGAAGUCCUGCUCCCCUGGUCCCGGGCUGCGGUGUGGGGCGCGCUCUGGCCCUCUCUUCAUCUGAUUACUGCUUUCCUGAUAGGCUCAGUUUAAACCAGGGCCUACGUCUGUCAUACAGCGUCUUUGUGUACUUUUCUCAGUUUGUCCUUACACGUUUGCACAUGCGAUUACUGUUCAACAUCUCAACAAUGGGCUCUCAAACAAACCGUCAGCCUUGUGAAGACACUCAACACUAGCCCAGGGCCAUACUGGGCAUUCAGUGGAAUCUGAAUGGGUUCUUAAAACUAGCCUAUAACAGUAACUAGCAAGGUGCUUACUGGGAUGUUCAUGACACAGCUUUUUAGACUCGAAUGUGCAUCUGAGUCCUGGGGAUCUUGUUAGACUGCAGAUUCUGAGUCCCUAGACCUGGGGCCUAAGGUCAUGCAUCUCCAGCAGGUCCGAGAUGUUGCUGGCGUUGCUGCUUAAGAGACCUUGAGCAGGAGUUGGAACGUGGCACAGGCAGGAGUCCAGGCCUGGGGCUGGGCCUUGCUGCUUUGUUCUGUGUUCAGCCCGAGUACAAUAUUUUUCGAUCUGAUUGGGUCACAUUGGAGACUUACCCUUGGGUUGUGUUUUCUCUCACUUUCCAUAUUGUAAAGGCUUCCUUGAGUCCUUCAACCCUUUCUAAUACAGCACUUCUGUUGGCUUCAUCCUGGGAGCAUGCUUCAUCUGUUUGAUGAGCUUUUACAGUUUCCACUUUUCACCUUUGUGCAUAUUUUGAUGAUGAUUUUCCAUCCGAAUCUACCUGUGCUUCUGAUGUCCUGUGAUUGCUUUCGCCUGAGAGGCCUGGGGUGGCGCCUUGGUAUGGGUGGGGCUUCGGGGGUGGGGCCUCGGUGGGCGGGGCCUUGUUUGGGGGCGGGGCCUCUGCUGCAGGGUCCGGAGUGCUUGGCUGGGUUUCUAUCUGCACUGAGGAGCUGGGAAGGUGAGUAAUGUAUGGGCUUCCUUUUAACUUCACGUCGUAAGAUAGACUUUAAUUACAAGGGGCCAUUCGUCUGUGAAAGAACACAAUAGCUCCUUCGAUGCCCUGAGUAUGUUCACGAUAAACACAACAUUUCACGACAGAACAAGCUAAGAAGGAAUCCUGGGUGCUUCAGCCCCAGGCUCCUGCCAGGGAGCAGUCGGUGGAUAUUGGAAUGUCUAGGAUUCUUCUUGGUCCCUCAAGACUGGGGCAGUUUCAGAAUCACUGGAAGAGUCUAGCCCUGAAGGAUUUUCCAAGGAAAGUACUGCUAUUGUAGCAACGAGAUGUCCCUUGUGGCACUUACAAGACGGGAGCCAGACAACUUGACCUUUCUCAUGUUCAGGAGCACCUGCAAGUUCAAGAUACCUACCUACCUCCUAGGACUAUAAACAUCCAGCAAAAGAAUGUUUUUCAAGUAUAGCAGAUAAGUGAAAAAAAAAAAAAUCAGAGUAGACCAGCGUGGACAGCGUGCUGCUUGUCAGAGACGAGGUCACAGAUAUUGUUCUCACGUACACAAGAUGCCUUUUGAAGGAACAGAGGACUGAAAUCAUUGGUUCCUGUGGAGACUGUUCACUGAAUACCUUUUGAAUUUUGAGCUGUGUGGUUCUAUUCCACUCACACCAUAAAGAAAAAUAUACCA